rnacentral:rRNA from 1 species
AUUGAACGCUUUCUUCCUUCCUAACACAUGCAAGUCGAGCGGAUGAAGGGAGCUUGCUCCUGGAUUCAGCGGCGGACGGGUGAGUAAUGCCUAGGAAUCUGCCUGGUAGUGGGGGAUAACGUCCGGAAACGGGCGCUAAUACCGCAUACGUCCUGAGGGAGAAAGUGGGGGAUCUUCGGACCUCACGCUAUCAGAUGAGCCUAGGUCGGAUUAGCUAGUUGGUGGGGUAAAGGCCUACCAAGGCGACGAUCCGUAACUGGUCUGAGAGGAUGAUCAGUCACACUGGAACUGAGACACGGUCCAGACUCCCACGGGAGGCAGCAGUGGGGAAUAUUGGGCAAUGGGCGAAAGCCUGAUCCAGCCAUGCCGCGUGUGUGAAGAAGGUCUUCGGAUUGUAAAGCACUUUAAGUUGGGAGGAAGGGCAGUAAGUUAAUACCUUGCUGUUUUGACGUUACCAACAGAAUAAGCACAGGCUAACUUCGUG